rnacentral:rRNA from 1 species
AGAGUUUGAUCCUGGCUCAGAUUGAACGCUGGCGGUAGGCUUAUCACAUGCAAGUCGAACGGGAACAGCAGAGCUUGCUCUGUCAAGUGGCGGACGGGUGAGUAACGCGUAGGAAUCUGCCCAGUAGUGGGGGACAACCAGGGGAAACCCUGGCUAAUACCGUAUACGCCCUACGGGGGAAAGCGGGGGACCUUCGGGCCUCGUGCUAUUGGAUGAGCCUGCGUUAGAUUAGCUAGUUGGUAGGGUAAAGGCCUACCAAGGCGACGAUCUAUAGCUGGUCUGAGAGGAUGAUCAGCCACACUGGAACUGAGACACGGUCCAGACUCCUACGGGAGGCAGCAGUGGGGAAUAUUGCACAAUGGGCGCAAGCCUGAUGCAGCCAUGCCGCGUGUGUGAAGAAGGCUCUAGGGUUGUAAAGCACUUUAGCAGGGAGGAAGGCCAGUUAGUUAAUAUCUGACUGGAUUGACGUUACCUGCAGAAUAAGCACCGGCUAACUCCGUGCCAGCAGCCGCGGUAAUACGGAGGGUGCAAGCGUUAAUCGGAAUUACUGGGCGUAAAGCGCGCGUAGGCGGUUUGCUAAGCCAGAUGUGAAAGCCCCGGGCUCAACCUGGGAACUGCAUUUGGAACUGGCAGGCUAGAGUACGGUAGAGGGUGGUAGAAUUUCCUGUGUAGCGGUGAAAUGCGUAGAUAUAGGAAGGAAUACCAGUGGCGAAGGCGGCUAUCUGGACCAAUACUGACGCUGAGGUGCGAAAGCGUGGGGAGCGAACUGGAGUAGAUACCCUGGUAGUCCACGCUGUAAACUAGGGUCAACUAGCCGUUGGGGGGCUUGUCCCUUUAGUGGCGCAGCUAACGCGAUAAGUUGACCGCCUGGGGAGUACGGCCGCAAGGUUAAAACUCAAAUGAAUUGACGGGGGCCCGCACAAGCGGUGGAGCAUGUGGUUUAAUUCGAUGCAACGCGAAGAACCUUACCAGGUCUUGACAUCCCGAGAAUUUACUAGAGAUAGUUUAGUGCCUUCGGGAACUCGGUGACAGGUGCUCAAUGUCUGUCGUCAGCUCCUGUCGUGAGAUGUUGCGUUAAGUCCCGUAAUGAGCGCAACCCUUGUCCUUAGUAGCCAGAACGUAAUGGUGGGCACUCUAGGGAGACUGCCGGUGACAAACCGGAGGAAGGCGGGGAUGACGUCAAGUCAUCAUGGCCCUUAUGGGCUGGGCUACACACGUGCUACAAUGGCCGGUACAGAGGGUUGCGAACUCGCGAGAGUAAGCCAAUCCCAGAAAGCCGGUCCUAGUCCGGAUUGCAGUCUGCAACUCGACUGCAUGAAGUCGGAAUCGCUAGUAAUCGCGGAUCAGAAUGCCGCGGUGAAUACGUUCCCGGGCCUUGUACACACCGCCCGUCACACCAUGGGAGUGGGCUGCAAAAGAAGUGGGUAGUCUAACCUUCGGGAGGACGCUCACCACUUUGUGGUUCAUGACUGGGGUGAAGUCGUAACAAGGUAGCCGUAGGGGAACCUGCGGCUGGAUCACCUCCUU